AAUUAAACACAACUCACACACACAGAAGGAAAGAAAAGGGGAGAAACGAGAAAUAGGGGGAGCUCGAGGGGGAAAUGGAGAAGAAGAGGAAGGAGAAGCGAGGGAGGGGAUGGCGCCGAGAAGGGUUCCACCGUUGUCGUUAUCAUCGUCAGGUGAAGAUAGAGGGGUGACCGAGAGAGAGUCGGAUGUGAGGAAGAGAACGACAUGCGUGAGAGGGAGACAGAGUCUGCAACGGAGCUGUCCCGCCACCAAUGCCUCGUCGCCGUCGUGCUUCAACGUCACCACUGCCGUCUGAGCCGCCGUCAGUUCUGUGUCGCUGAGGGAAGCCCGAGAUUGAGAUGAGGGAGAUGCGAGCCAAGGACCCCGACGAGGAGUUGAAGAAGCCGUCACCUUCACUGGAGCCACGAUCGCUAUCGCCGUUCUGCCUUCCCCUGAGCCGCCAAUACCACCAUAUUCUUCGAAUCCGCCACACUCACCGUCGAGUCACACUCACCGCCAGCGAAGCUUUUGUUGUCGUCACCGCAGAAAGGGGGUUGCUGCUGCUGUCAUGGCCGUCUUCCUUGCUGCUGCAACUUCAUUCAAUCCUCAACUGUUGGAACUCGCCGCUGGUACCAAUCGAGAUGUCUGCUACUAAUGGUUCACUGCGAUACAAAACAGCGAUGGAGAAAGGGACAGAACUCGCCAGAGGAGGUUGCUGGAGCCGUUGGUCUGAACUGCGCUGCCUUUUCCCUGCUCCAGUGCCGCUGCUACUGCUGAAAAGUGAUCGGAAAUAUUGCUGCCGUUGCCAUGGAUUAAGAAAAAGGGGUUCAUCGCAAUUAAUUCCUGCUAGUUCGACACUCUGAGAGACAACAGUGAAGAAAACACGAGGACCUACACAAUGCUUGAAGAUUCAUGCAAGACAGUUGGAAGAUAGAGAAGAAAUUACUCUAGAUAUUGAAGGAGAGGCAAUUGGUCCUACUGAUGAAGCUGUAAACAACUUGAGCAAAUUUUUGGGCACAGUGGCUAGGAAUUCAGAUUUUUGUCCAUUAAUUUACACAAAUUGGAAGGGGAUUAAAGAUAAAGAAGCCAUUUGGGAAUAUGUUCAAGUGAGAACUUUAGUCUUGUUUCUUUUAGAAAGUAUCUGGAAAUGUAUACAUAUAUUUUAUUCUUACUAACAAAUAAUAUUUGUGGACA